CCUACGGGGGGCAGCAGUGAGGAAUAUUGGUCAAUGGCCGUAAGGCUGAACCAGCCAAGUCGCGUGAAGGAAGAAGGAUCUAUGGUUUGUAAACUUCUUUUAUAGGGGAAUAAAGGUAUCCACGUGUGGAUAUUUGCAUGUACCCUAUGAAUAAGCAUCGGCUAACUCCGUGCCAGCAGCCGCGGUAAUACGGAGGAUGCGAGCGUUAUCCGGAUUUAUUGGGUUUAAAGGGUGCGUAGGUUGUUUUUUAAGUCAGCGGUGAAAGUUUGUGGCUCAACCAUAAAAUUGCCGUUGAAACUGGAAGACUUGAGUGUGGUAGAGGUAGGCGGAAUGCGUGGUGUAGCGGUGAAAUGCGUAGAUAUCACGCGGAACUCCGAUUGCGAAGGCAGCUUACUAGGCCAUAACUGACACUGAAGCACGAAAGCGUGGGGAGCAAACAGGAUUAGAUACCCGGGAAGUC
rnacentral:rRNA from 1 species